rnacentral:lncRNA from 1 species
GUUAAUUUCUGCAAGCCCUAGUGAACAUUAAACUUUCACAUGAUACAAAAAAAGGACUCUGGCAAAUUGGAUUUGCAGCCAGAGUGGUUGAUGCCUCAGUCCCAAAGACUGAGCCAAGAUUUGUCAGAAUGUUGGGGACAAAAUGUUUGUUUACCUAAUUACUUAACUCAAUAAAUACUGUGCUGGACUCUGGCACUGUGCUGCUUGCUAGGCAUACAACGUACACCAUGGCCCUUGGCCAUCAAAGUGGGUUUAGCCUGAAAGAAGAUGUGGAGGUGAGUACCAAGGCAGAGGUGUCUGCCCGGGACAGCGAACCCCAGAGGAAGGGCUGGCUGCUCAGCUCUGCAAGUGGAAGCAAGGCCUGUGCUUCCUGUAGUCCUCCUGGUGUCCUACACCUUAGAGCUUGGUCGACAACCAGUGUCAAGGGACGGCUCCUGCAGGUGGCCACAGGAUGCUCUUGAGUCAGACCAGCGCACUUUCCAAGCACACUCGCGACCAGAUUUGCUCUGUGCAAUGCUAACGGAGGUGCCUGCUUUCCUGGGCCAGGUCGGUUGGACCGUCUGCAAUGACGAGGACAGUGCGUGAUCUUCCGGAGUCCACAGGCACAGAGCAAGCACUGGAAUCUCAGUGAUGGGAACUUCUUCUCUCAUUCCUUCAGUAUUGCUGUAUGUGGUAGUGUGCACAAGAAAAUACAACAAAGUGCACACUAUUUAUGAAUUUUUAAAACAUCCUUGGAUGGCCGGCGCCGCGGCUCACUAGGCUAAUCCUCCGUCUGUGGUGCCAGCACACCGGGUUCUUGUCCUGGUUGGGGCACUGGAUUCUGUCCCAGUUGCCCCCCUUCCAGGCCAGCUCUCUACUGUGGCCCAGAAGUGCAGUGGAGGGUGGCCCAGGUCCUUGGGCCCUGCACCCGCAUGGGAGACCAGGAGAAAUACCUGGCUCCUGGUGUGCCAGCCUCAGCGCGCUGGCCAUAGCAGCCAUUGGAGGGUGAACCAAUGGCAAAGGAAGACCUUUCUCUCUGUCUCUCUCUCUCACUGUCCACUCUGCCUGUCAAAAAAAAAAUAAUAAUAAUAAUAAAAAAUCCAUGGAGUAGUGACUGAUCA